UACGUAGGGUGCAAGCGUUGUCCGGAAUUAUUGGGCGUAAAGAGCUCGUAGGCGGUUUGUCGCGUCUGCUGUGAAAACGCGAGGCUCAACCUCGCGCCUGCAGUGGGUACGGGCAGACUAGAGUGCGGUAGGGGAGAUUGGAAUUCCGUGGUGUAGCGGUGGAAUGCGCAGAUAUCAGGAGGAACACCGAUGGCGAAGGCAGAUCUCUGGGCCGUAACUGACGCUGAGGAGCGAAAGCGUGGGGAGCGAACAGG
rnacentral:rRNA from 1 species